rnacentral:rRNA from 1 species
UACGUAGGGGCGAGCGUUGUCCGGAAUGAUUGGGCGUAAAGGGCGCGUAGGCGGCUUGUUAAGUCUGGAGUGGAAGUCCUCUUUUCAAGGGAGGAAUUGCUUUGGAAACUGGCGGGCUUGAGUGCAGGAGAGGUUAUCGGAAUUCCCGGUGUAGCGGUGAAAUGCGUAGAGAUCGGGAGGAACACCAGUGGCGAAGGCGGGUAACUGGACUGUAACUGACGCUGAGGCGCGAAAGUGUGGGGAGCAAACAGGAUUAGAUACCCCGGUAGUCCCUGAGCGGGCU